rnacentral:rRNA from 1 species
UACGUAGGGGGCAAGCGUUGUCCGGACUUACUGGGCGUAAAGCGCGUGCAGGCGGAUUGGUAUGUGCCGUGUGAAAGCUCUCAGCUUGCCUGGGAGAGGUCGCGGUAGACAGCCGAUCUGGAGGCUCGGAGAGGUCAGUGGAAUUCCCGGUGUAGUGGUGAAAUGCGUAGAUAUCGGGAGGAACACCAGUGGCGCAAGCGGCUGACUGGCCGAGACCUGACGCUGAGACGCGA